UACGUAGGGAGGAAGCGUUGUCCGGAAUCAUUGGGCGUAAAGCGCGCGUAGGUGGCUCUAUAAGUCCGUUGUGAAAGUCAAGGGCUCAACCUUUGAAAGCCGAUGGAUACUGUGGAGCUAGAGUACGGAAGAGGCGAGUGGAAUUCCUGGUGUAGCGGUGGAAUGCGCAGAUAUCAGGAGGAACACCAAUAGCGAAGGCAGCUCGCUGGGACGUUACUGACACUGAGGCGCGAAAGCGUGGGGAGCGAACAGG
rnacentral:rRNA from 1 species